rnacentral:lncRNA from 1 species
UUCUUUCUUUGCAGAGCAGCUACAAGGACAGUAGGGCUGAUUUUGCUGGGUUGGAGAAGCUGUAUUUGUGAAACUCUGUACUUGGAGAUCCCUUGUAUGAUGGGCUCAUGGGACAUCCUCCCUGCCAAUGCCAUCACUCUCUCCCCAGCUGAUAUUUGCUCUUUGCAGGGAAAUGGCUUCAGGUCUUCACAAAACAUGGGCUAUAAGAAAACACUCCAAACUUAUAACUGUGACCUCCUCUGCAGAGAUGAAGAGGGGAAAGAGACUGAAAGAGCAGAUAAAAGGAAAAGUACUCAAACAGUGCUGUGUUGUUUCAAGAGCGGAGAUCAGGUCAGAGGUAAUUAUAGUAAGUUCGUGAUGUUUAUUAGUUCUGCACAGUGUUUAUGUUGCUGUUUUGUUGGAAAAGCUCUGCUAUUUUUUCUACUUAGAAAAAUUUAAAAGAAGAAAAAGAGUACACUACAAUAUAGCAAAAAAUUAUUUUGAACAAUGAAAGUGGGCAACUGCAAGCUAGAUGAUGUAAUUAAAUGUAUUUGGCAUUGCCAAACUCUCCGGAAAGAUCACGGAAAUUCUCAAAUUUGGAGGAGUUAUGGGGCUGAUUCACUCACUGUGAAUGUCUGUCACUCGGGGGGUGGGUGAUAUCUGUCUUAAGCUUCAGGCUCACUUUAAAAAAAAAAUCUAUUUAAUUUGAAGCCAACCAUAAUUCAAUUAAAGAAGAAACUAUGGUCUCUCCAAAACACAAAAUAGCACAAACACUCAGAAUUCUUUGAUACACCUCGAAAUUAUGCUGUAAUUCAAAAUGAUGCUAAAGCUGUCAGGACAAAGGGUACGCAUCAUAAAAUGCAGUA